GUGCUUGCUUGGACAACACAUCUACUAAAAUUGGAAUGAUACAGAGAUUAGCAUGUGCCCUGUGCAAGGGUGACACACAAAUUCUUGAAGCAUGAAUACUGCCA
ensembl:snRNA U6 U6 spliceosomal RNA